rnacentral:rRNA from 1 species
AUCAGCUAUGGUUCCUUGGAUCGUACAUACUACAUGGAUAACUGUAGUAAUUCUAGAGCUAAUACAUGCCACUAAGCCCUGACCCGCAAGGGGACGGGUGGAUUUAUUAGAACAGAACCAACCGGUUGUGGCUUCGGUCAUGGCCGUUGUACUCUGUGAUGACUCUGGAUAACUUUACUGAUCGCAGUCGGCCUUGUGUCGGCGACGGAUCUUUCAAAUGUCUGCCCUAUCAAUUGUCGAUGGUAGGUGACCUGCCUACCAUGGUGAUAACGGGUAACGGGGAAUCAGGGUUCGAUUCCGGAGAGGGAGCCUGAGAAACGGCUACCACUUCUAAGGAAGGCAGCAGGCACGCAAAUUACCCAAUCCCGGCACGGGGAGGUAGUGACGAUAAAUACGGAUACGGGACUCAAAAGAGGCUCCGUAAUUCGAAUGAGUACAAUUUAAAUCCUUUAACGAGGACCAACUGGAGGGCAAGUCUGGUGCCAGCAGCCGCGGUAACUCCAGCUCCAGAAGCGUAUAUUAAAGUUGUUGCAGUUAAAAAGCUCGUAGUUGGAUCUGGGUCGCAUGGCUACGCGCCGUUGCUUGUGAUCUCGGUUUGGUUACGACCGGAUUGAGUUCAUGAGUCGGUGUAGUGGUUGUGCAGCCUUUCUGCCGUGUCUGUUUUACAGGUGCUGGCGGAUUGUUGGGUUCGCCCUUCAGUCUGUCGGCAUGCUUCCGAAUGCCUUUAAACGGGUGUUGGGGGCGGACGGCACGUUUACUUUGAACAA